AUUUAGAAAAUUCACAAGAAGACUUGUCAGUGUCUUCCUGGGUUCUAUAACAUUAAAGGUGGUUGUGUUGAGAUGACGAAUGGAAAACUGUCAGAUAAUUUUAUGGAUUUUUCAAGACUCUUUAGAAAACCAAGAUAUGAUGAAAUAUUUCCUGGAAAAGUUAAGAUGUCUAAAAACAUACCAGCUCAUGGUACUAUUAAUACUAGGAAGGAUGGCGAAUAUAGAUCUGAAUGUGAUAUUAGUAUACAUCUUCCUAUUGAGGGCAGGAGUUUACUACCUUGGCCGGUCAAAUGGACAAAU